UACGUAGGGGGCAAGCGUUGUCCGGAAUCAUUGGGCGUAAAGAGCGCGUAGGCGGCCAGAUAAGUCCGGUGUGAAAGUCCCAGGCUCAACCUGGGAAUGCCGUCGGAAACUGUCUGGCUAGAGUCCGGAAGGGGCCAGUGGAAUUCCUGGUGUAGCGGUGAAAUGCGCAGAUAUCAGGAGGAACACCUAUUGCGAAGGCAGCUCGCUGGGACGUAACUGACGCUGAGACGCGAAAGCGUGGGGAGCAAACAGG
rnacentral:rRNA from 1 species